rnacentral:rRNA from 1 species
UACGUAGGGUGCAAGCGUUAAUCGGAAUUACUGGGCGUAAAGCGUGCGCAGGCGGUUGUGCAAGACCGAUGUGAAAUCCCCGGGCUUAACCUGGGAAUGGCAUUGGUGACUGCACGGCUAGAGUGUGUCAGAGGGGGGUAGAAUUCCACGUGUAGCAGUGAAAUGCGUAGAGAUGUGGAGGAAUACCGAUGGCGAAGGCAGCACCCUGGGAUAACACUGACGCUCAUGCACGAAAGCGUGGGGAGCAAACAGG